GGUUAGUGGCUCAGUGGCAGAGAGCUUGCCCCUCAUGUGUGAGACACUGGGUUCAAUUCUCAGCACCA
rnacentral:tRNA from 1 species